UCCCUGGUGGUCCAGUAGUUAAGAUUCUGUGCUUCCAAUGCAGAGGGUGCAGGUUCGAUCCCUGGUCAGGGAA
rfam:Ovis aries breed Texel chromosome 3, whole genome shotgun sequence.